UACGUAGGUGGCGAGCGUUGUCCAGAUUUAUUGGGCGUAAAGCGCGCGCAGGUGGUGCGGUAAGUCUGUCGUGAAAUCUCCCGGCUCAACUGGGAGGGUGCGGUGGAGACUGCCGGACUGGAGGCACUCAGAGGCAGGUGGAAUUCCCGGUGUAGUGGUGAAAUGCGUAGAGAUCGGGAGGAACACCAGUGGCGAAGGCGGCCGGCUGGGGGUGACCUGACGCUGAGGCGCGAAAGCGUGGGGAGCGAACCGG
rnacentral:rRNA from 1 species